UACGUAGGGGCCGAGCGUUGUCCGGAGUUAUUGGGCGUAAAGCGCGCGCAGGCGGCUUCGCGCGCCCCGACGUGAAAGCCCCCGGCUUAACCGGGGAGAGUCGUUGGGGACGGCGGGGCUUGAGGGCGGGAGAGGUCGGUGGAAUUCCCGGUGUAGUGGUGAAAUGCGUAGAGAUCGGGAGGAACACCUGUGGCGAAGGCGGCCGACUGGGCCGACCCUGACGCUGGAGGAGCGAAAGCGUGGGGAGCGAACAGG
rnacentral:rRNA from 1 species